rnacentral:hammerhead_ribozyme from 1 species
ACCAGUUGACGAGUCCCAAAUAGAACGAAACGUGCGUCCUGGAU